AUGAGGUGCCACAGACUUCUAGUAGAAAUGGGCAGCCUUCACUCACAUUCUUUCUUCGGAAGCAUGGAGCAUCUGUUUGUAACAGCUGAAGGGAAGAAACAGCGCUUGUGAUCGUGUAGUUGUGGACAAAUGUGUUGUGAUAUGCUGCAAGACUCCAUCAAAGAAGUGACCAGAGCACCGUCUGCCGCGGGCUCUCCCCCUUCCCACCCUGCUGCCCUUCCCCUGGGAAGCACAGACGUGUCUGCAGCCAGCGGGGCUGGGAGCAGCGUCAGCGGGGCGCUGGGAAGCGGUGACCCCAAUAAGCGGGAAUGGGACGAGAAGUGUUCGGAGCAGGAGUCAGAGUGAGGAGGUGACACAUCGCCGCACCGUGACUCAGGAGAAAGGCCAGGUCCUGAGGGCCUGUUGACUGCAGUGGGAGUUUGUUGGCCCACGGUGCAGCUAAACAAAAUACAAGAAAUACAAGCUGUGGCACAGAUCGUAGCUCAGAUGAGACGGUCCUGUAACCAGUCUGAGGAGUGCUGGGCCCUCGCCAGCGAGCUACUUGCAACACACGAGGAACAAAGAGAAAUUUCACUUUGAACUAGGCUGUCCUAUAUCCAGAAGAACUGUUGCGUUUUUUGUAUGCUGUACAAAUAAUGCACUGCUUGUAUCACUGUACCUAUUCCGCACCAAAUACCUGGGUUAUCUACCUGUGAAUUAAGAAAACAGGUGUGUGUGCACUGUAGGGUGCGUGGCAUUGCGGCAUCAGACCUCAUUAAAUGCCAUUUAAUGGCAUUUCACUUGUUCUGGAAGCAAGCGGGAUCUGCUCCUGCUGUGGAGUCCCACAUGACACAGACAGCCUGCUUUCGGUCCUCUGACUUCUUUGAAGCAAAUAGUUCCUGAAGGGGAGACUGAGGAACAGUUCGUGCCUCAGAUUUGCCCGCUUACAGGCAGCCUUGUGGAGCUGGGAUGUAGUCCCUGUUGGGAGUGAUUUCUCUUCUGGGAACACAGGACCGAGCAGGGAUCUGUCAUUGCGGAUCUGGAAAGAGUUAAUGAAAGCAGAGCUUGUCUGGCCAAGGGGCUGGUGCGGCUCCAGCAGAGCAGUGACUCACCGAUAGAGCAUCCUGCCAAAGCACCCAGCGAGCUCCUCAUCCUCAGAUCCUCCUCUCCAAACAUAAUAGUGUGAAUUGGUCCAGCAUCAUGGCUAGAAAGGUUUGUCUCUUGCAGCACCUGCUCUUCCCACUCAGUUCGAUACUCUGCUUGCUUAAGAAACCUCCUUGCAUUGUCUGGCAGGUGAGACCUUGCACGUCUGGCUGUUAUGUUGGUCCUGUGGUGCAACCCCCGGUAAUCUCAGGGCUCUCUACAGGACUGAAGAAGGUAGAGGUUAAGAGAAUAAUUUAAACGGGUAAGGAAAAGGCCAAAGGGAGGACCGAAGCAGGUUGACUGGGUGACUUAUUGGAGGAUGAGCCUUGGAACUGACCAAGUUUGGUGCUUUCGCCGUUGAGCUUGGCUCAAAAAGAAGCACGGAGCGAUGAGACUUGGUGGUGGCAUCCUGCUUACCAAACAGCCUGUGCUCAGCACCAUGCUGCCCUGGGUGUGAUCCUCUGCCUCAGUCGCUCACCAUUUCCCUCCCUUUGGACAGGGGAAUCCAGUGAGGAGCCGGGCAGGGUACCCCCCCGGCUGCUGAGUGUCACUGAGGAGCACGGGCAGGGGAACCAGCAAUGCGUGGUCUGAGGGCUGGCUGGUGUUCUCCAGAGGCACAUGAACUGAGUUUCAUUAAAAAUGGAUGCUUUCCUUCCUGCUGAACCCUUGUCCCCCUCCUCAGUUACCAAAAGAGGGCCACUGAUGAGUCACAGAAAGCGCCAACACAGUGGCAGAGUGACAGUGCCGGCAGCAGCAAGGGAGGGCUCGCGGUCUUGGCAAUGAGCUGAAUUUAUACCACUUUGAAUCCAGACUGGCACAGCGUAAAUAUAUGGAUUAGUACCGGUACAACAGAACAAAACCUGAGGAGGAGGGUUUAAACAAGGCAUAAUUUGUAGUAACAACAAAAUUGCAGGGUUUCAUUACUUCAGCUCCCAACCCUCACACCUCAGCCUCGCCACAAAGAAAAUAUCUGCCUCCCCGUUCUUCUGCAGCUGAGCAUUUCUCAAAAUAUCUGAGCAUUUUUAAAAACAUCACUGUUUGGGUAGCCAGCCUGGGAAGCGUGGCCUGUCGCUGCGGGAAGGCCAGCUGUGAAAAUACACAGCAUUAGGGUAAUCAGCGCAGGGUGGGAAGACGAAAAGGGACACACGUGUCCGACGCUGAAUCUGUUUGGAAGGUGGAAAGUGAGCGGUUCCCGUGCGAUUCCCCUCCCUCGGCAGGCUCUGUGCAGGUUGCUGCAGUGGCUGUGCUCGCGGCUGGCUGCCGGGGAGGCACGGGGACACGAGAGCUCCUGGGGUCAGCCGGGUCCAGGCGUGGGCAUUCCCUAGCUCCCGUUACCCGUCGCGCGCCGGUGAGCACGGGCUGCUUCUCCGUGUUGGAGGUGGUUUCAGAUUGACAAGAUCAAGUGACGGCACGACUGUAGGCACCUUUAUCUGCUGUAUGCAUAAUCCUCCGCGCUGAACCCCCGCCAAACUCAUCCCCAGGUCUUAUCUUUUCUAAACUGAGUAUUUAUUCAUGUGGUUGUUUUAUGUAAACUGCAAAGAGCCUCAUUAAAUGGAAACCUUCGCUCACAAGCUCCAUUAUUAAGGUGGAACGGCGCUCGGGACCCGCUGAGCAGAAUCCCGAAGCUUUUGUGUUUAGAGAAGAAAUGCUUGGUGCCCUGCAGUCCGGUGCUGAGCCUUCCCGUUACCCCCACACUCAGCUGGGAGGUGAAGCACUGAACUGCCCACUGCCUGCAGGAGGCUCCCCGAGGGCUGAGCGCAGGCGGCUUUGGGGCCAGGAGGGCAGGAACAGCCCCUGCCGAACAAGAAAGGGGAGCUCAGGACCUGCCCUGCCCUGGCAAACCAGGAGAAGCCCAUUUGGCUAUUGGAGAAGGACCGGGAAUGGGUGAGGGCGAUCUGGGCAAUUGCUCCGGGCACGGGGCUUGCAGCACCUUAGGAGCUGGCUGACAAGCUGGGAGCUUUGGGAGGAGGGCAGUUUUUUGCAGAUAAAACCCCAUCACCGGCAUGGUGGUGUUCACUGCAGGUAAAUCCCAAUAUUUCCGUGAGUUUUAUUUGUAUUAUAAAUGCUAAUGGCAGAGUUUGAAACAAAAGGCACACACGCAUGGUUAACGUACUGGCAGCGCUCGUAUCUCUCUGAAGCUGGAAAUGAAUUCUGCUCUGUGUUUUCUCCUUUCUUAGCCCGACUGAACCCAGUCUGUACUUCAGCAGCCACCAGGACUGUGACGUUCCCGUUUCAGCAAACAAGAGCCCCCAUGGCAUUUUGCUCCUAAACAACGGACGGCUGCUCAUCAGACUAAAAUUAAAGAAGGUAACAAAUCAAUAGCCCAAACCCGCACUCCUUUUGGACAAUCAGCAUUUCAGGGCCGGCUUGUUUUCCACAGUGAGGCACGGCUCUUCUUUAUUCAAACCCUCCAGCGGCAUUAACAUGCUCGGUGCGGAUCUCUGCCCUGUCAUACUUCUUAUCUCAAGGACAGCACCUCCGACAGCAAAAUGCCCCAUCCAUCACGUGGGAAUAUUAGCAAGCGUCCGGUCCUCUCGAGGAUGAAUAAAACCUGGGGCCCGCUGGCUCCACGCCAAGCCGACCGCUUCCGAAAGCUGCCACGGCCCUCCCAGGCCAUUCAAGCAGCCGAGCUGUUUCUUUAGGGCAGCGGGCACAUGUGAUUAAGCGACUGAAUAUUUUUUGGGAAAAAAGAAAAAGAUCGGGAAGCCGAAAGGGACUCGCUGUGUGUGCCCAAAAUCAGGCCGAGCCCCCCGCAGAGCCGUGUGCGCGCUCCCGGAUGUGUGCACGGGGCCAGGACGUCGUCCCGGUGCCCCGCUGGGCGCGGGGAUCUCGGUGCUCGUGUGGCUGUGUGCAUGCGUGCGUUUUCUUUCCCUUUGUUUUGGUUGGUGUUUCUAAUCCCCCGGGGCAUAUCUCUGAGCUGAGGAACUUUAGAGCUGAUACAGCUUUUUAAAGUGGGGAUUAUGUAAAUGCAUAUUACGGGGCUUUCAUAAAUAGGGAUUAUUUGUCGAAUACAUUUGAGUGCUUCCUUUGGAGCCAUUAAGGUCUGUUGUGUAAAUAGGAAUUUAGUGACUGCUUAAUCUAAGUUUCAUUGAUUCAAUAAAAGAUCACAACAGCAUUUUUUGCAUUCAUCUCGGCCCUGUGAGAACAAUUCUUUAUGGACAAUUUUCAGAUGGUUACAGGACCAUAUACACUUCAUGCUAACCGUGGUGAGCAUGCCUUGCACGUCUGCAUCAACCAUUCUCCACGAGUCACUGUUUCCCUUCCUCAGUAGUUUUGUAAUUAAAAUCACUGUCGUCUCAGCCACUAACUUCUAAGGUAUCACUUACUAAAUUAUCACUCACUUACUGGCCCUGCACCACCAAGCCUCGCAGAUCCCGUUGGCACCGCACGGGA